rnacentral:lncRNA from 13 species
GCAAGUUGUAAAAAUGUCUCAGUGAUUUGGAAGCAUAGCAUUUUGGAUCUUAUGCUCUUUUUUUGAAAAUUUUGUUUUACUUCUAACUGGAAGAAUGUGGGUAGUGCAGACGGUGGUGAAAAGAGCAAAACACCAGAUCAAGAAACCAAAGUCAAGAGUACUCAAAUGACUUGUUCAAGGCUUUUUUCAAGGAACUCUGAACAUUUUUGAAUAUUAUUGCACUAAUCUUCAUAAAAUCCUUGAGCAAAGAGCGUCCGUAAGCUACAAGGAGGAAGUAGAAGUAGCAAGCAAAAUUUGAUCAUCU